rnacentral:piRNA from 1 species
UGCCAGCUCCCAGUCAGGCAGUGC